rnacentral:rRNA from 1 species
CGGCGGACGGGUGAGUAACACGUGGAUAACCUACCUAUAAGACUGGGAUAACUUCGGGAAACCGGAGCUAAUACCGGAUAAUAUAUUGAACCGCAUGGUUCAAUAGUGAAAGACGGUUUUGCUGUCACUUAUAUAUGGAUCCGCGCCGCAUUAGCUAGUUGGUAAGGUAACGGCUUACCAAGGCAACGAUGCGUAGCCGACCUUAGAGGGUGAUCGGCCACACUGGAACUGAGACACGGUCCAG